rnacentral:rRNA from 1 species
GGGACACGUGGUAUCCUGUCUGAAUAUGGGGGGACCAUCCUCCAAGGCUAAAUACUCCUGACUGACCGAUAGUGAACCAGUACCGUGAGGGAAAGGCGAAAAGAACCCCGGCGAGGGGAGUGAAAAAGAACCUGAAACCGUGUACGUACAAGCAGUGGGAGCACGCUUAGGCGUGUGACUGCGUACCUUUUGUAUAAUGGGUCAGCGACUUAUAUUCUGUAGCAAGGUUAACCGAAUAGGGGAGCCGAAGGGAAACCGAGUCUUAACUGGGCGUUAAGUUGCAGGGUAUAGACCCGAAACCCGGUGAUCUAGCCAUGGGCAGGUUGAAGGUUGGGUAACACUAACUGGAGGACCGAACCGACUAAUGUUGAAAAAUUAGCGGAUGACUUGUGGCUGGGGGUGAAAGGCCAAUCAAACCGGGAGAUAGCUGGUUCUCCCCGAAAGCUAUUUAGGUAGCGCCUCGUGAAUUCAUCUCCGGGGGUAGAGCACUGUUUCGGCAAGGGGGUCAUCCCGACUUACCAACCCGAUGCAAACUGCGAAUACCGGAGAAUGUUAUCACGGGAGACACACGGCGGGUGCUAACGUCCGUCGUGAAGAGGGAAACAACCCAGACCGCCAGCUAAGGUCCCAAAGUCAUGGUUAAGUGGGAAACGAUGUGGGAAGGCCCAGACAGCCAGGAUGUUGGCUUAGAAGCAGCCAUCAUUUAAAGAAAGCGUAAUAGCUCACUGGUCGAGUCGGCCUGCGCGGAAGAUGUAACGGGGCUAAACCAUGCACCGAAGCUGCGGCAGCGACGCUUAUGCGUUGUUGGGUAGGGGAGCGUUCUGUAAGCCUGUGAAGGUGUGCUGUGAGGCAUGCUGGAGGUAUCAGAAGUGCGAAUGCUGACAUAAGUAACGAUAAAGCGGGUGAAAAGCCCGCUCGCCGGAAGACCAAGGGUUCCUGUCCAACGUUAAUCGGGGCAGGGUGAGUCGACCCCUAAGGCGAGGCCGAAAGGCGUAGUCGAUGGGAAACAGGUUAAUAUUCCUGUACUUGGUGUUACUGCGAAGGGGGGACGGAGAAGGCUAUGUUGGCCGGGCGACGGUUGUCCCGGUUUAAGCGUGUAGGCUGGUUUUCCAGGCAAAUCCGGAAAAUCAAGGCUGAGGCGUGAUGACGAGGCACUACGGUGCUGAAGCAACAAAUGCCCUGCUUCCAGGAAAAGCCUCUAAGCAUCAGGUAACAUCAAAUCGUACCCCAAACCGACACAGGUGGUCAGGUAGAGAAUACCAAGGCGCUUGAGAGAACUCGGGUGAAGGAACUAGGCAAAAUGGUGCCGUAACUUCGGGAGAAGGCACGCUGAUAUGUAGGUGAAGCGACUUGCUCGUGGAGCUGAAAUCAGUCGAAGAUACCAGCUGGCUGCAACUGUUUAUUAAAAACACAGCACUGUGCAAACACGAAAGUGGACGUAUACGGUGUGACGCCUGCCCGGUGCCGGAAGGUUAAUUGAUGGGGUCAGCGCAAGCGAAGCUCUUGAUCGAAGCCCCGGUAAACGGCGGCCGUAACUAUAACGGUCCUAAGGUAGCGAAAUUCCUUGUCGGGUAAGUUCCGACCUGCACGAAUGGCGUAAUGAUGGCCAGGCUGUCUCCACCCGAGACUCAGUGAAAUUGAACUCGCUGUGAAGAUGCAGUGUACCCGCGGCAAGACGGAAAGACCCCGUGAACCUUUACUAUAGCUUGACACUGAACAUUGAGCCUUGAUGUGUAGGAUAGGUGGGAGGCUUAGAAGUGUGGACGCCAGUCUGCAUGGAGCCGACCUUGAAAUACCACCCUUUAAUGUUUGAUGUUCUAACGUUGACCCGUAAUCCGGGUUGCGGACAGUGUCUGGUGGGUAGUUUGACUGGGGCGGUCUCCUCCUAAAGAGUAACGGAGGAGCACGAAGGUUGGCUAAUCCUGGUCGGACAUCAGGAGGUUAGUGCAAUGGCAUAAGCCAGCUUGACUGCGAGCGUGACGGCGCGAGCAGGUGCGAAAGCAGGUCAUAGUGAUCCGGUGGUUCUGAAUGGAAGGGCCAUCGCUCAACGGAUAAAAGGUACUCCGGGGAUAACAGGCUGAUACCGCCCAAGAGUUCAUAUCGACGGCGGUGUUUGGCACCUCGAUGUCGGCUCAUCACAUCCUGGGGCUGAAGUAGGUCCCAAGGGUAUGGCUGUUCGCCAUUUAAAGUGGUACGCGAGCUGGGUUUAGAACGUCGUGAGACAGUUCGGUCCCUAUCUGCCGUGGGCGCUGGAGAACUGAGGGGGGCUGCUCCUAGUACGAGAGGACCGGAGUGGACGCAUCACUGGUGUUCGGGUUGUCAUGCCAAUGGCACUGCCCGGUAGCUAAAUGCGGAAGAGAUAAGUGCUGAAAGCAUCUAAGCACGAAACUUGCCCCGAGAUGAGUUCUCCCUGACUCCUUGAGAGUCCUGAAGGAACGUUGAAGACGACGACGUUGAUAGGCCGGGUGUGUAAGCGCAGCGAUGCGUUGAGCUAACCGGUACUAAUGAACCGUGAGGCUUAACCUUACAAC